rnacentral:rRNA from 1 species
GAUGAACGCUAGCUACAGGCUUAACACAUGCAAGUCGAGGGGCAGCAUUGGAGUAGCAAUACUUCAGAUGGCGACCGGCGCACGGGUGAGUAACACGUAUCCAACCUGCCGCUUACUCGGGGAUAGCCUUUCGAAAGAAAGAUUAAUACCCGAUGGUAUAAAGAGUUCGCAUGUUCUCUUUAUUAAAGAAUUUCGGUAAGCGAUGGGGAUGCGUUCCAUUAGAUUGUUGGCGGGGUAACGGCCCACCAAGUCUACGAUGGAUAGGGGUUCUGAGAGGAAGGUCCCCCACAUUGGAACUGAGACACGGUCCAAACUCCUACGGGAGGCAGCAGUGAGGAAUAUUGGUCAAUGGACGAGAGUCUGAACCAGCCAAGUAGCGUGAAGGAUGACUGCCCUAUGGGUUGUAAACUUCUUUUAUAAGGGAAUAAAGUGAGGGACGUGUCCCUUUUUGUAUGUACCUUAUGAAUAAGGAUCGGCUAACUCCGUGCCAGCAGCCGCGGUAAUACGGAGGAUCCGAGCGUUAUCCGGAUUUAUUGGGUUUAAAGGGAGCGUAGGUUGACGUAUAAGUCAGCUGUGAAAGUUUACGGCUCAACCGUGAAAUUGCAGUUGAUACUGUAUGUCUUGAGUGUACAAGAGGUGGGCGGAAUUCGUGGUGUAGCGGUGAAAUGCUUAGAUAUCACGAAGAACUCCAAUUGCGAAGGCAGCUCACUGGGGUACAACUGACACUGAGGCUCGAAAGUGUGGGUAUCAAACAGGAUUAGAUACCCUGGUAGUCCACACAGUAAACGAUGAAUACUCGCUGUUUGCGAUAUACAGUAAGCGGCCAAGCGAAAGCAUUAAGUAUUCCACCUGGG